UCCCUAGUAGCUCAGGUGGUAAAGCGUCUGUCUGUAAUGCAGGAGACCCAGGUUCGAUCCCUGGUUCGGGAA
rfam:Ovis aries breed Texel chromosome 10, whole genome shotgun sequence.